rnacentral:rRNA from 1 species
GACGAACGCUGGCGGCGUGCCUAAUACAUGCAAGUCGAACGCAAUGGGGACGGGGGAGUAACACGUGGGUAACCUCCCAUCAGAGGGGAUAACACUUGGAAACAGGUGCUAAACCGAUACUGAUGGAUGGACCCGCGGUGCAUUAGCUAGUUUGGGAGGUAACGGCCCACCAAGGCCACGAUGCAUAGCAGACCGGAGGGGGGGACCGGCAACACUGGGACUGAGACACGGCCCAGAUUCCUACGGGAGGAAGCAGUAGGGAAUCUGCGGCAAUGGACGAAAGUCUGACCGAGAAACGCCGCGUGAGUGAAGAAGGUUUUCGGAUCGUAAAACUCUGUUGUUAGAGAAGCGGUAUCUAACCAGAAAGCCACGGCUAACUACGUGCCAGCAGCCGCGGUAAUUC